CACUGAAAUUAUCUGCUCUCUUGUUUAGUUGUUUCAUAUACGGCAAAUUAAGGCCGUCAGGUUUUAAAGCAAUUAUAAAAUGAAUAUUUAAAUAAUUACAACAAACUUACCUUCGUUAACGUAGGCUCCCUUCUUUUAGCCGAUUCUUUCCCCCUUUCUUUCUGAGAAUGCGUUUGAAAUUUACAAAAUCUUUCAAAAAUGUGAGAUCAGUGAGGAUGACCACACACCCAACACUCGAACACCCACGCCCACGAUCAUUGAUGAACUUUAGACUUCGCUAAUGCUUUCGUUUCCCCGGGUGUAAAUAGCCGGGGGGAAUUAAUACCCUCGCACGGCGCUACCCGUCGUCGGCUUGGGGAUUACUUGUCGCGGUAUAUUUAAGUACGUUUUAGUCCAGUGGGUCCGCAGUAAUUGGCUAUAGCGCUUUGCGGACUCCCUGUCUUUAAUUUUAAAGUUAUUUUAAG